rnacentral:rRNA from 1 species
GACAGAGGGUGCAAACGUUGCUCGGAAUCACUGGGCGUAAAGGGCGUGUAGGCGGGAGAGAAAGUCGGGGCGUGAAAUCCCUAGGCUCAACCUAGGAACUGCACUCGAAACUUUCUUUUCUUGAGUACCGGAGAGGAAAGCGGAAUACCCUGGUGUAGAGGUGAAAUUCGUAGAUAUCAGGUGGAACACCCGUGGCGAAGGCGGCCUUCUGGGUCCGCCCUGACGCUGAAGCGCGAAAGUGUGGGGAGCGAACGGG